CAAGCCUUUUUGCGAGGAGAGGAUGUAUUAGUAGUCUUGCCAAAAAGCUUAGGGAAAAGCCUCAUUUACCAGCUAGCUAGUUGUAGUCUUCAAGAAGCAAGGAAAACAGCAUCCAAUUUUGACAGUCGUGUCCCCGCUAAAAGCUGUGGUGGACGGAGGAACAAAUCCGCAAGGCAACAGCCCUGGGUCUCAAAGUGGUGGUUGUGGAGGAAGACAAAAAUGCUAUAUGGGAGGGUGCGUGCGACUUUGUCUUCUGAAGUCCGGAGAGCUGGCCUCAGUCCUAUACAGCUCCAAAUUAGUUGGAAUCGUUGUGGAUGAUGUUCAUAUAACCUACAUAUGGACGCAGAGAAGAUGAAGAAGGUAGUACCUGCAAGAGGGUGUUGGGAUAACAACAGACAAUGGAAAAGCUCAGAGACACUGACGUCUGCCACUGACAUUCAAGGAGUUCAGCUAUCCAGAAUCAGAACUGAGAUCAUGCUACUAUGAGGCUGAACAAUAAUUGUUCCUCUGCACCAGGGUACAGAGAAGAAUGAAAGACACCUUCACUCGACAUCUUCACUGAGUCUACACACCUUCACAUUUCAAAAAGUAAUUCAAUGUUUGCUUCAUGGAUCUUUUAUUUAUUUAACCUUCAUUUAA